GAUGAACGCUGGCGGCGUGCCUAAUACAUGCAAGUCGAGCGAACGGACGAGAAGCUUGCUUCUCUGAUGUUAGCGGCGGACGGGUGAGUAACACGUGGAUAACCUACCUAUAAGACUGGGAUAACUUCGGGAAACCGGAGAUAAUACCGGAUAAUAUUUUGAACCGCAUGGUUCAAAAGUGAAAGACGGUCUUGCUGUCACUUAUAGAUGGAUCCGCGCUGCAUUAGCUAGUUGGUAAGGUAACGGCUUACCAAGGCAACGAUGCAUAGCCGACCUGAGAGGGUGAUCAGCCACACUGGAACUGAGACACGGUCCAGACUCCUACGGGAGGCAGCAGUAGGGAAUCUUCCGCAAUGGGCGAAAGCCUGACGGAGCAACGCCGCGUGAGUGAUGAAGGUCUUCGGAUCGUAAAACUCUGUUAUUAGGGAAGAACAUAUGUGUAAGUAACUGUGCACAUCUUGACGGUACCUAAUCAGAAAGCCACGGCUAACUACGUG
rnacentral:rRNA from 1 species